ACAAAAGGAAACAAAACAUAAAGGAGCAUUGUGCAUUGCCACGCCACCUUUCUCAGAGUGUCCCAGGCGAGGCUUCCGUCUCCUCCUUCCGAACUCAUUCUCUGGGUUCCUGCACUGCGCUGCUAUACAGAGAUUUACUACAGCACCUGCCACAUCAGGAAGUGUGUGCUUGGUGCAAAGCCCUGGAAACACAGAGCUGGACAAGAAAAACUGCCCAUUCUUGAGGAACUUGUGAAAACAAAGAUCGAGUGAUUAAACAUAUAAAGCAAGAACAAGGCAAUAGGAGUGAGUGAAUGUGAAGAAAUAAAUACUUCAAAUAGCAUGGCCCAGGGUGUACCUGUUGAAUGCAACACUUCUCUGUUGAUGUGUGUCUCUCCCUUUGUAUGACAUAUACAUAUGUGUGUGUGUGUGCGCAUGAGUGUGAUUAUAUGUAUAACUAUAUAUACAGCUAAUUCUUUGAGACUUUAAUGCCCACAUACGACGUAUCUGGAUCGUGUUCAUCAUCUUCUCCCAGACUGCCCCACCCACAACUCAAUUUCUGUCUCUCUCUCUCUGUUUCCUUCCUUCCUCCCUGCUCCCCCUCACCCACCUGGUUCAAUUUGUGUUGUCCAUAAACACAUGGAUGUGGUGUCAGCCACUGGAACAGACCUACCAGGGGCCACGUUCUUAAAGAAAACUGACUCUCCCUGCCUAGAAGCCAUCAACUGUCACUUGGUUUUCAUUGAGGCAUAAGGGUUCAGCUCCUAAGCCUCCCUCUCCCCUCUCCGUGUUGGAAUGCGGACUAGCUCGAUCUUGUGCAGCAGCCAAGGGCACUGUGAGUUCAUGAGUGCAGCGUGCGGUCGUGUCCAGAGAGGGCUCUUUCAGUCUCCCCCCAAGUCUGACUCUUACAAUAUUUCUGCUCCCUCUUCUGCGAUGGUCCCAGGGCCUUGGGAAAGGGGCUGUGGUGGAUUGAGCACUCCACUGACACUGAAUCUCUGCACUUUGACCCAGUUGUGAGUCUCUGGGUCAACAGCCAAAAGGCUUUGUUGUAUUAUACCUGUCCUCAGAGGUAGGGCAGAACUUGGCACACGGCAACAGUUAGGCAGGUUUGCACUGCCGAGAGGGAGUGCACUCUACUGCACAGUAAGUCUCAAGGCAGAGUUGUCCAGAGAACCCAGCACUGAAUGGAACAUAGAGGCGCAGAACAGAGAUCUAAGCUUACCUUUGCAGUAGGCCUACUGUGUGAUCCAGGGCAGUUUCCUAGCUCCCAAAUCCAGAAAAUGUGGACAACAGCACCGAUCCGUUGAGUUAUGGGGAGGGUAAGACUGAGGUCUGGAAGUCCCUGCGGACAGAGCCGGCUUUACCUUCACCCCUUCUCCUGCUCCAGCCACACUGUUCUCAGACUCACCUGCUCUUCCCGACUGCAGUUUCUGUAACUCCUUUCUCUUGUGAGAAGCCUCCCGCCAGUUGGUCCCUCAGGAUCUCCACUCAUCCUUCAGGCCAGCCUACACUACGUAGCAAGACUAUGAUCUCAAAACAAAAACCAAAAAGAAAAUGAUUUUCAACA